rnacentral:tRNA from 2 species
GCCUGAUUAGCUCAGUUGGUAGAGCACUCGGCUGUUAACCGAUAGGUCGUAGGUCCGAGUCCUACAUCAGGCGCCA